UACGAGUGCCUCAAGCGUUAUCCGGAAUCACUGGGCGUAAAGGGUCUGUAGGCGGCUAUGUUAGUCUCUUGUUAAAGUUUCUCUGCUCAACGGAGAAAUUGCGGGAGAAACGGCAUAGCUUGAGAGUGUCAGGGGCGUACGGAACUCACGGUGUAGGGGUGAAAUCCGUUGAUAUCGUGGGGAACACCAAAAGCGAAGGCAGUACGCUGGGACAUUUCUGACGCUGAGAGACGAAACCCUGGGUAGCGAAUGGG
rnacentral:misc_RNA from 1 species